GUUUCUGCAGGGUGUUGUCCCUGAAAGUGGGAGCUGCUCCAGGGAGGACAGGGCCUCGAGGAAGAGCUAGGAAGGAAGCAGAGGCCAGAAGCAGGAAGGCCUGGCUGCUGCUGUGCCUGCCACUGCUGCAGCCAGUGUCCUGGGGUGACCGUGGGUGGCUGUGGACAGGCUGCAGCCUCUCUGGCUAUCUCUGACCUCUUUAGGAACAGUUCGUAGAAUCCCCAGGAAAACUCAGUUCUGAGCAUGCACCGGCACACACCCGGAGUUUCCUGUGUUUGCAACUCUAGAGGUAAUUUUCCAAUGCCAAAGGAGAAAGCACGGAAGCCCAUUUGGACUGGGACCGCACCUCUACCCUCGGAGGCUGGAGACCUCCCACAUCUUCUUUGACCCCAGUUUCUGCUUCUUUAAAAUGGGUCCAGGCAGCAUCCACUCUCCAGGAUGAUGAGGGUGACUGGACUUGCAGAUGGGUGGAGGAGUCAGGGCCAUUCACAGCCAUUUGACCAUCCCCCAGCUAGGGAGUCUGUGGGUGAAGAAUGGACUGAGUGGUCUUCCAUUGCAUGUCAUCAACCUCAUUCCAGCCAGCUUGGUGAGUUUUACCAGAGACUUGAAUGAAGACACAAAAGAUGUGUCCAGCCAAACCUCAGAAGCACACAAUGUUUUGACAUAGCUGAUUUAUGAUCCAAAACUCUCUUCCCAGGUGGAAUUGCUAGCCCA
rnacentral:lncRNA from 1 species